UCGGCUUAGAGUUUGAUCCUGGCUCAGAUUGAACGCUGGCGGCAGGCUUAACACAUGCAAGUCGAACGGUAGAGUAGCUUGCUACUUACGAGUGGCGGACGGGUGAGUAACGUAUGGGAAUUUACCGAAUGGAGGGGGACAACAGUUGGAAACGGCUGCUAAUACCGCAUAACGUCGAGAGACCAAAGGGUUUCGACUUGCCAUUUGAUGAGCCCAUAUGAGAUUAGCUAGUUGGUGUGGUAAUGGCUCACCAAGGCGACGAUCUCUAGCUGGUUUGAGAGGAUGACCAGCCACACUGGGACUGAGACACGGCCCAGACUCCUACGGGAGGCAGCAGUGGGGAAUAUUGCACAAUGGGGGGAACCCUGAUGCAGCCAUGCCGCGUGUAUGAAGAAGGCCUUAGGGUUGUAAAGUACUUUCGUGGAGGAGGAAGGGUUUACGUAAUCGUGGACAUUGACGUUACUCCAAGAAGAAGCACCGGCUAACUCCGUGCCAGCAGCUGCGGUAAUACGGAGGGUGCGAGCGUUAUCGGAAUGACGGGCGU
rnacentral:rRNA from 1 species